rnacentral:misc_RNA from 1 species
AAGUCAUAACAAGGUUUCUAUAGGUGAACUUGCAGAAGGAUUAUUAAAAAAAUAUACCUAGUAAAAGUGUGAAAACGCUAGAUCCAGUGCUAUAUACAAUCACUUGUUUACCUUUACCUAUUGUUUCCAUGAAAUUAUGGGUACUUUUCCUGUUUGCAAGCUUGAAUUACCUUUUAUAGAUAUAUUUAAAAAAUUGUUUUGUAUUAUUGUCUGAUUUAAAAUUUUAAUAAAAGUUAAAACUUUUAAUAAUAGAUCUCUAGGUUUUC